rnacentral:lncRNA from 1 species
CCACCGAUCAGAGUUUUUCACCGGAGAUUCACCUCGUCGGUGCCGCAACAGACACCGGAAACCUACCGGGACCAGAAUCACCAUCAACGAAAACACCAGUUUCAGAUCAUACCCCUUCAUUUCUGUGUUCCGAGUGUUGUAGAGCAUCAAUCGCCUAUCGAGAUCUCAUCCAAACUUUUUGCCACAAACCCAAAACGAAGGAGGUUUACCCAGAUCAGAAACACUAACCAACGGAGAGCUUCAAAUCGUCCAGCGACGAGAUCUCUUCCGUUACAUCGCACCACCACAUCCAUAAAACAGAACCAUCAACGAAGCAAAACAAAAGUCGGCGGCGCAAGGCUUAGAACCUCCGCACCCCAAAG